AUACCCCACCGCUACCUGGGCCCGCAGGCGUUAAUAAGCGGUGUGGGGGAGGGUGUGACGUUCCCCCCCGCGGGCCGGGCCGAGAGAAGCUCCGCCCCUGCCAUGGGGUGGGCGGAGCCUCCCACCUCAACCUCACCGUCCGGCUCGGGCGCCAUUUUGAGAAGCUCUUUGUGUGUCGGGGCUGCGAGAGACACUCGGUGCUUACCCGGGCAGCGCAGGGAGCGGGGCCUUGGCCGCUGUGACUGGCGCUUCCCCGGGAGCGCGCGGUGCAACCGGGCCUGAGCGCUUUUACUCUCUACCCCACGGACCUCGGAGCACAAAGCGCGCCGGUGGAUAUGCCCCUGUCGCUUGUUUUUUUAGUGAACUAGAUGAUUUAUUAGAAAAUGGUACAUGAAGAUGCUUACUGUUCUUCUGCGUCUGCGGAGUGGAUUACUAUGCUAUCAACGCACUGCUCCUAGUUUGGUUUAUUCGUAUUAUUAGCCCUACACUGAUGAUGCCUUAUGUACAGCUGCUAGACUGCAUUCAUUCCCUCCUUUCUCCUGAUUCGUUUCUCCUGAGAAGCAUCACAUCUGUUCUGCACUUUCCUCAAGAUGCUUGGUCAGAAAUGUGAGAGGAGUUGAAUGAACUGAUGUGACCCCAUUCAUUCUGUACUGUUCCAGCUGGGAAGUGUUGUGUAGUAGAGCAGCAUAGACACUUGGCUUGCCUCCAAUGGUACACUCAAGAAAAUUAAGGGGACCAAGAGGUCGGGGCAGAGGAAGAGGUGGCAGAGAUUUUGGAAACAAGGGACAGCUUUCAUAUGUCAGAGGGAAAAUGCGAGGCAAAACAAUUAAUGGCAUUGGGCCCAUGAGACGUGGGAUAGGAAGAAUGCAUCCAUAUCCUGACCCCCGAGGCCAAAGAGGAGGCAGAGGGGGGCCACCUCUUUUAUCACUCCCACCCCUGAGAGGAAUGAUGAGAGAUCCUUUCUCACUUCCACCACCAAGGUUAGUUUUGAUAACAUUGAUAGAAAGGUGUUUGUUUAAAAACGAUGGAUGUGUAGUGCUGUAG
rnacentral:lncRNA from 1 species